CCUACGGGUGGCAGCAGUAGGGAAUCUUCCGCAAUGGACGAAAGUCUGACGGAGCAACGCCGCGUGAGUGAUGAAGGUUUUCGGAUCGUAAAACUCUGUUGUUAGGGAAGAACAAGUACGAGAGUAACUGCUCGUACCUUGACGGUACCUAACCAGAAAGCCACGGCUAACUACGUGCCAGCAGCCGCGGUAAUACGUAGGUGGCAAGCGUUGUCCGGAAUUAUUGGGCGUAAAGCGCGCGCAGGCGGUCCUUUAAGUCUGAUGUGAAAGCCCACGGCUCAACCGUGGAGGGUCAUUGGAAACUGGGGGACUUGAGUGCAGAAGAGAAGAGUGGAAUUCCACGUGUAGCGGUGAAAUGCGUAGAGAUGUGGAGGAACACCAGUGGCGAAGGCGACUCUUUGGUCUGUAACUGACGCUGAGCGCGAAUGUUGCC
rnacentral:rRNA from 2 species